UACGAGGGGGGCAAGCGUUGUUCGGAAUUAUUGGGCGUAAAGGGUGCGUAGGCGGUCUGACAGGUCGGUGGGGAAAUCUACAGGCUCAACUUGUAGUCUGCAUGAGAAACUGCCGGGCUUGAGUAUGGGAGAGGUGAGUGGAAUUCCUGGUGUAGCGGUGAAAUGCGUAGAUAUCAGGAGGAACACCUGUGGCGAAAGCGGCUCACUGGACCAUAACUGACGCUGAUGCACGAAAGCUAGGGGAGCAAACAGG
rnacentral:rRNA from 1 species